rnacentral:rRNA from 1 species
AUUGAACGCUGGCGGAAUGCUUUACACAUGCAAGUCGAACGGUAGAGGGGGCAACCCCUCGAGAGUGGCGAACGGGUGAGUAAUAUAUCGGAACGUGCCCAGUCGUGGGGGAUAACGUAGCGAAAGUUACGCUAAUACCGCAUACGAUCUAAGGAUGAAAGCGGGGGAUCGCAAGACCUCGCGCGAUUGGAGCGGCCGAUAUCAGAUUAGGUAGUUGGUGGGGUAAAGGCUCACCAAGCCAACGAUCUGUAGCUGGUCUGAGAGGACGACCAGCCACACUGGAACUGAGGCACGGUCCAGACUCCUACGGGAGGCAGCAGUGGGGAAUUUUGGACAAUGGACGCAAGUCUGAUCCAGCCAUUCCGCGUGCAGGAUGAAGGCCCUCGGGUUGUAAACUGCUUUUGUACGGAACAAAAAGGUCUCUCUUAAUACGGGGGACUCAUGACGGUACCGUAAGAAUAAGCACCGGCUAACUACGUGCCAGCCGCCGCAGUAA